GAUCCUAGUUGUCGCCGUGCGCGUGUACGUAUCUAUUGCACUUCGCCAUUUUAGUUCGGUAAGCAUCGCUCGCGUUUACUAGUUACAAACGGAUAUUUUGCUGUGCAGUGGAUGAAUCUUGCAUUACAUAUUCCCAACACGAUGGUUAGCAGCUAUGAGCACUUGCAUUUGAUGUGCGUUGUACGACACACUGUAUUUGUCGUGCCUUGGAGUCUGAUGCGUUCUAUACUGUAUAUGCCGUGUCUUGGAUCUGCAUUGGUAAGUGUAUAAUUCAAUUAUAUUUUUCAUUUUAAUUCCUGUGUCGCAGAUGCGUAAUUUAAUUCUUCAUUUCCC